UACAGAGGUCUCAAGCGUUGUUCGGAUUCAUUGGGCGUAAAGGGCGCGUAGGCUGCGGGGCAAGUCGGGUGUGAAAUCUCAGGGCUCAACUCUGAAACUGCACUCGAUACUGCUUUGCUCGAGGACUGGAGAGGAGAUUGGAAUUCACGGUGUAGCAGUGAAAUGCGUAGAUAUCGUAAGGAAGACCAGUGGCGAAGGCGGGUCUCUGGACAGUUCCUGACGCUGAGGCACGAAGGCCAGGGGAGCAAACGGG
rnacentral:rRNA from 1 species